GCCUGGGUAGCUCAGUCGGUUAAGCGACUGACUUCAUCAUCUCACUGUUUGCGAGUUCAAGCCCCGCACCAGGCU
rnacentral:tRNA from 1 species